GACGGUGGAUGCGAGCGGGGAAGAGGAAAAGAUUAGUAAGACUCUCUGGAGGCCAGACUGGAGCACGCCGCUACAAACCAGCAGUUACCCAGCUGUCCCUGAUGUAGAUCGUGUGCGCUGAUGCCAUCUACAAACAGCAUUGAUUGGUGGAGUCUGAGUGGCGGCGAGGGCUCCCUGUGGUGGCCUCCCGUACAGGGAUUGGCUCAGGUGGAAGAGUAAUAGAGUAUCGAUCCCUGCUCGGUUCUGCAGACAUUGAAGUAAUGUGAAUAUUGUGGCUGAGCACAGCUAAUCAUUUACCCGGCUACUGAGAACCUUUCAACCAGCUUCAUAGUUCUCCUCAACACCAUCCAUCAGCUUGUGAGAUGAAUCAUCAGACACACAUUCAAACACAGAGCAAAGCACACAACCAGCCACAAGCACAAAAAGACAGAGUACAAAAAUCCAGGGUACGAAUCCAAAGAUCCUUGUAGGGAGUGGAGUUCUCUUAUACACAUACAUUCAGUUUUCCUCAUCAAAAUGCAUUGUGUGUAUCCUUGAGGCCUCACAGACCUGUUGAGAGCAUUUCCUUCCUCAUCAAAAAUUCGCAAGGAGCGCCCUGGUAGCCUUGGUUUGAUUGUGGCCGGGACCUUUGUUGCAUGUCAUAUCAACCUCUCUCCCAUUGUUUCCUG